rnacentral:rRNA from 1 species
GGGCCCGCACAAGCGGUGGAGUAUGUGGUUUAAUUCGAUGCAACGCGAAGAACCUUACCAGGGUUUGACAUCCUGCGAACCUCUUGGAAACGAGAGGGUGCCUUCGGGAACGCAGUGACAGGUGGUGCAUGGCUGUCGUCAGCUCGUGUCGUGAGAUGUUGGGUUAAGUCCCGCAACGAGCGCAACCCACGUCUUUAGUUGCCAGCAUUUAGUUGGGCACUCUAGAGAGACCGCCGGUGAUAAACCGGAGGAAGGUGUGGAUGACGUCAAGUCAUCAUGGCCUUUAUGCCCAGGGCUGCAAACGUGCUACAAUGGUACGGACAGAGCGAAGCGAGGCCGCGAGGCGGAGCAAAUCGCAAAAACCGUGCCCCAGUUCAGAUUGCAGUCUGCAACUCGACUGCAUGAAGUUGGAAUCGCUAGUAAUCG